UACGAAGGGGGCGAGCGUUGUUCGGAAUUACUGGGCGUAAAGGGCGCGUAGGCGGCCGAUCAAGUUAGAUGUGAAAGUCCUGGGCUUAACCUGGGGACUGCAUUUGAUACUGAUUGGCUUGAAUUCGGGAGAGGAUAGCGGAAUUCCCAGUGUAGAGGUGAAAUUCGUAGAUAUCUGGAGGAACACCGGUGGCGAAGGCGGCAUCCUGGACCAAUUCUGACGCUGAGUGAGCGAAAGCCAGGGGAGCAAACGGG
rnacentral:rRNA from 1 species